UACGGAGGGUGCAAGCGUUAUCCGGAAUCACUGGGUUUAAAGGGUGCGUAGGCGGCAUGAUAAGUCAGGGGUGAAAGCCUGCAGCUCAACUGUAGAAUCGCCUUUGAUACUGUUAUGCUUGAAUUAGGUUGAGGUCGGCGGAAUGUGACAUGUAGCGGUGAAAUGCAUAGAUAUGUCAUAGAACACCAAUUGCGAAGGCAGCUGGCUAGACCUGAAUUGACGCUGAGGCACGAAAGCGUGGGGAGCGAACAGG
rnacentral:rRNA from 1 species